rnacentral:rRNA from 1 species
CCUACGGGGGGCAGCAGUCGAGAAUCAUUCACAAUGGGGGAAACCCUGAUGGUGCGACGCCGCGUGGGGGAAUGAAGGUCUUCGGAUUGUAAACCCCUGUCAUGUGGGAGCAAAUUAAGAAGAUAGUACCACAAUAGGAGGAGACGGCUAACUCUGUGCCGGCAGCCGCGGUAAUACAGAGGUCUCAAGCGUUGUUCGGAAUCACCGGGCGUAAAGCGUGCGUAGGAGGUUUCGUAAGUCGGGUGGGAAAGGGGCGGGCUCAACCCGCGGGUGGCACAUGAUACUGCGAGACUAGAGUAGUGGAGGGGUAAGCGGAAUACUCGGUGUAGCAGUGAAAUGCUUAGAUAUCGAGAAGAACACUCGUGGCGAAGGCGGGUUCCUGGACAUCAACUGACGCUGAGGCACGAAGGCCAGGGGAGCGAAAGGGAUUAGAUACCCCUGUAGUC